AGGCUUUCCCUGGUCAUGAUACUUCUGAAGAUUGUAGUUGUUGUUAUGGACGGUGGAAAUGGUUGGUUCUGAUGGUUUUGGUCUUUUACGGAUUGUUAUUGUUUUUUACGAGGGGCGGCGCAAUCCUUUUCAAUCUCGCAUGUUGUAUCACAAUAUGUUUUCGUUUUUAAUGUUGUCCAUCAAUUAUUCUUAUAUGUGUGACACCAGCAUACUUAUCUGUUGAAUGCCAUGUACAGGCAGAGGAAGUUGUGGUGGAAAAGACCAAAACAAUGAUAAAAAGCCUCUACAUCUUGUCAAAGGUGCCUUUGGACAGUUGCAAAUCAGCUUGUACUUGUAGCAGCAGCUGGACAGGGUCCUGCAAUGCUCGCUCCAUGGGGUGCAGGCUCAUCGUCUACCAUUACUGCCUCUCCGUGCUGGUUCCUACCAAUCUAAAACCGCUCAGGGGUGUUUGGAUUCAGCCACUAAAAUUUAGUUGAGGCCGAGGCCCUCUUUGAGCUCUACAAGAUCAGUUGUUCUAUCAUCGACGACGACCUAUCAACCAGGUGCAUUCAAUAAAAUUCCUCUUUGAUUCCUGUAUCUAUCGUGCAUAUUCUUGUCAUUCAUGACGUGAUUUGGGGUUGAUUUGAACAUCUAUUUUUUUGAAUGAAACAUUCCUUGCACUUGGAAGAUGUGUUUUUUUGUUGCUUUAGGCCUCGGACAAUUUCUUUGGAUUUAAAUAUGGAGGAAAUGGUUACAAAAGACCUGGGAUAGUGACACUCUGUCAUCCUAGGCUAAUGAGAUUGAGCACCUGGUAAUUCCAGCAACAGAUUACCUCUUUGAACCUUCACUCUAGGAUAUUUCUCAAGCCAUAGAUUUCAUCCAUAGGAAUGCAUCACAAGGUGGUACCACAUUACCCAUGAUCUACGUGCUCGGAGACUCCCUGGCGCCUGUCGAGAACAACAAUAACCUGGUGACACUGCUCAAGGCCAACUUCCUACGAAACAACAUCGACUACCUAGGGCACAAGGCCACCGGCUGCUUCAGCAAUGGCAAGAACUCCAUCGACUUCCUCGGAAGAAGGUAGGGGAAAAGCAGGGAAGUAGGUCGUACCACGGUGCCUCGUGCUAUCGCCAACGAGGGAGCUCGCUCAACAACCACAGGGAGACCACAUCGAGCUGCACCAGAAGCGCCAUGGUAAGCACUUGGACCACGAGGUGCGCAAGCACGAGGCGCGCGAGGUGCAUAGGCCUCGAAGGACACUCACAAUUUGAUUGGUACUAAGGGCAAGAGGUUUGUCAAGAAACGCUAUGCUGAGAAGGCGCAGAUGAAGAAGACAUAAGUGCUUGUUUGCUGCUCCUGUUUAUGUGUUGAUAUUUGUGAGCCAAUAACUUUUAACCAUGACUGCUUUACUGGUGUAUCAUACCCUGAGUAGCGGUUGUGAGCAUGAAAAAUUGCUUACGCCCCAUAGAGGUUAUGACUCAGCUUGUCAGCCAUCCCCAACUAAGUUGUGUUCUUCUGAACCAUGCUACUUUGUUCUUUACUGCAACCUGCAUUCGUUGAUGCGAACAAACUAAUUAUGUAUUCCUCUGAUCAUUACUUAGAUGAGGAACAAUCUCUUUGUAUUAUGUGGUCUGACUAUCAUGGUGGAAUUUGUUUAAUCUGUUUAUGUGAUUUGCAAAAGAAAAUGCAAUGAGUAUGCGCCUUUGUGAAAUAAUAAAGUUAACUAUGCAUUAA